rnacentral:rRNA from 1 species
GAACGCUAGCGGCGCGUUUCAGGCAUGCAAGUCGCACGGUAACAGGGGAGCUUGCUCCCGCUGACGAGUGGCGCACGGGUGAGUAACGCGUAGGUAAGCUACCAUAAGGAUAGGAAUAGCCCUACGAAAGUAGGAUUAAUACCUAAUAUGCUGUAGUAUACAUAAGUAUGUUAUAGUAAAGGCUUCGGUCGUCUUAUGAUGUGCCUGCGUUAGAUUAGUUAGUUGGUAAGGUAACGGCUUACCAAGGCGACGAUCUAUAGCCGAGCUGAGAGGCUAAUCGGCCACAUUGGAACUGAGACACGGACCAGACUCCUACGGGAGGCAGCAGUGAGGAAUAUUGGGCAAUGGGCGCAAGCCUGACCCAGCCAUGCCGCGUGCAGGAUGACUGCCCUAUGGGUUGUAAACUGCGUUUAUACGGGAAGAAUGGUUCCUACGUGUAGGGAUUUGACGGUACCGUAAGAAUAAGCAUCGGCUAACUCCGUGCCAGCAGCCGCGGUAAUACGGAGGAUGCAAGCGUUAUCCGGAUUCAUUGGGUUUAAAGGGUGCGCAGGCGGAAUAUUAAGUCAGUGGUGAAAUCCUGCAGCUUAACUGUAGAACUGCCAUUGAUACUGAUAUUCUUGAAUAUAGUUGAGGUGGGCGGAAUGUGUAAUGUAGCGGUGAAAUGCUUAGAUAUUACACAGAACACCGAUUGCGAAGGCAGCUCACUAAACUAAUAUUGACGCUGAGGCACGAAAGCGUGGGGAGCGAACCAGGAUUAGAUACCCUGGUAGUCCACGCUGUAAACGAUGAUCACUCGCUGUUGGCAAUACAUCGUCAGCGGCUGAGCGAAAGCAUUAAGUGAUCCACCUGGGGAAUACGAUCGCAAGAUUGAAACUCAAAGGAAUUGACGGGGGCCCGCACAAGCGGAGGAACAUGUGGUUUAAUUCGAUGAUACGCGAGGAACCUUACCUGGGCUUAAAUGCAGAACGACGUUUCGGGAAACCGGAAUUUCUUCGGACGGACUGCAAGGUGCUGUAUGGCUGUCGUCAGCUCGUGCCGUGAGGUGUCGGGUUAAGUCCCAUAACGAGCGCAACCCUUAUCGUUAGUUGCCAGCGGGUAAUGCCGGGGACUCUAACGAAACUGCCGGUGUAAACCGUGAGGAAGGUGGGGAUGACGUCAAGUCAGCACGGCCCUUAUGUCCAGGGCUACACACGUGUUACAAUGGUCGGUACAAAGGGCAGCUACCUGGCAACAGGAUGCUAAUCUCGAAAACCGAUCUCAGUUCGGAUUGAAGUCUGCAAUUCGACUUCAUGAAGCUGGAUUCGCUAGUAUCGCGCAUCAGCCACGGCGCGGUGAAACGUUCCCGGGCCUUGUACACACCGCCCGUCAAGCCAUGGAAGCUUG